CGAGCGACACCUUCUCUUAGUUACAGCACGUUAUGGUGGGCACUCGUAAGAGACUGCCGGUGACAAACCGGAGGAAGGGUGGGGAUGACGUCAAGUCAUCAUGGCCCUUACGGCCUGGGCUACACACGUGCUACAAUGGUCGGUACAAAGGGUUGCCAAGCCGCGAGGUGGAGCUAAUCCCAUAAAACCGAUCGUAGUCCGGAUCGCAGUCUGCAACUCGACUGCGUGAAGUCGGAAUCGCUAGUAAUCGUGAAUCAGAAUGUCACGGUGAAUACGUUCCCGGGCCUU
rnacentral:rRNA from 1 species